rnacentral:rRNA from 1 species
GAUGAACGCUGGCGGCGUGCCUAAUACAUGCAAGUCGAGCGAACGGACGAGAAGCUUGCUUCUCUGUUGUUAGCGGCGGACGGGUGAGUAACACGUGGAUAACCUACCUAUAAGACUGGGAUAACUUCGGGAAACCGGAGCUAAUACCGGAUAAUAUUUUGAACCGCAUGGUUCAAAAGUAAAAGACGGUCUUGCUGUCACUUAUAGAUGGAUCCGCGCUGCAUUAGCUAGUUGGUAAGGUAACGGCUUACCAAGGCAACGAUGCAUAGCCGACCUGAGAGGGUGGUCGGCCACACUGGAACUGAGACACGGUCCAGACUCCUACGGGACGCAGCAGUAGGGAAUCUUACGCAAUGGGCGGAAGCCUGACGGAGCAACGCCGCGUGAGUGAUGAAAGUCUUCGGAUCGUAAAACUCUGUUAUUAGGGAAGAACAUAUGUGUAAGUAACUGUGCACAUCUUGACGGUACCUAAUCAGAAAGCCACGGCUAACUACGUG